UGCGUAGGCGGACUAAUAAGUCAGUGGUGAAAUCUUUCGGCUCAACCGGGAAACUGCCAUUGAUACUGUUAGUCUUGAGUUCGGUUGAGGUAGGCGGAAUGUGUAAUGUAGCGGUGAAAUGCUUAGAUAUUACACAGAACACCAAUUGCGUAGGCAGCUUACUAGACCGACACUGACGCUGAGGCACGAAAGCGUGGGGAGCGAACAGGAUUAGAUCCCUGGUAGUCC
rnacentral:rRNA from 1 species